rnacentral:rRNA from 1 species
UACGGGGGGAGCAAGCGUUGUUCGGAUUUACUGGGCGGAAAGGGCGCGUAGGCGGCCAGCACAAGUCAGUUGUGAAAUCUCCGAGCUUAACUCGGAAAGGUCAACUGAUACUGUGCGGCUAGAGUGCGGAAGGGGCAACUGGAAUUCUUGGUGUAGCGGUGAAAUGCGUAGAUAUCAAGAGGAACACCUGCGGCGAAGGCGGGUUGCUGGGCCGACACUGACGCUGAUGCGCGAAAGCUAGGGGAGCGAACGGG